AACCUAUAGUGAAGGUACCUUCUCAAAUGGUCCUUGUAUCUCUCCCAUGCAUCGUAGAGUGUUUCUAAAUCCAUCUGCACAAAAGAAGAGAUAUCAUUACGUAAUUU
rfam:Gossypium arboreum cultivar AKA8401 contig_167840_1, whole genome shotgun sequence.